rnacentral:rRNA from 1 species
CAGCCGUAAACUAUGCGCGUUAGGUGUACUGGUGACCACGAGUCACCGGGGUGCCGAAGGGAAACCGUGAAACGUGCCGCCUGGGAAGUACGGUCGCAAGGCUGAAACUUAAAGGAUUGGCGGGGGAGCACCACAACGGGUGGAGCCUGCGGUUUAAUUGGACUCAACGCCGGAAAUCUCACCGGAUAGGACAGACAUAUGAUAGUCGGGCUGAAGACUCUACUUGAUGAUCUGAGAGGAGGUGCAUGGCCGUCAGUGACU